rnacentral:rRNA from 1 species
UACGAAGGGGGCUAGCGUUGCUCGGAAUCACUGGGCGUAAAGCGCACGUAGGCGGACUCUUAAGUCGGUGGUGAAAUCCUGGAGCUCAACUCCAGAACUGCCUCCGAUACUGGGAGCCUUCGAGUCCGGGAGAGGUGACUGGAACUGCGAGUGUAGAGGUGAAAUUCGUAGAUAUUCGCAAGAACACCAGUGGCGAAGGCGGCUCACUGGCCCGGUACUGACGCUGAGGUGCGAAAGCGUGGGGAGCAAACAGG